rnacentral:rRNA from 1 species
GAUGAACGCUGGCGGCGUGCCUAAUACAUGCAAGUCGAGCGAACAGACGAGGAGCUUGCUCCUCUGACGUUAGCGGCGGACGGGUGAGUAACACGUGGAUAACCUACCUAUAAGACUGGGAUAACUUCGGGAAACCGGAGCUAAUACCGGAUAAUAUAUUGAACCGCAUGGUUCAAUAGUGAAAGACGGUUUUGCUGUCGCUUAUAGAUGGAUCCGCGCCGCAUUAGCUAGUUGGUAAGGUAACGGCUUACCAAGGCAACGAUGCGUAGCCGACCUGAGAGGGGGUCGGGCAAAACUGAAAAUGAGAAACGGUCAGGACUCCUAGGGAAGGCAGAAGUAGGGAAUUUUCGGAAAUGGGGGAAAGCCUAACGAGCAAACGCGGGGGGGGUGAUGAAGGCCUUCGAAUCGUAAAACGCUGUUAUAAGGAAAGAACAAAUGGGAAAGUAACUAUGAAGGUUUUGAGGGAACCAAUCAGAAAGCCACGGCUAACUACGUG